AUUGAACGCUGGCGGCAGGCCUAACACAUGCAAGUCGAGCGGAUGAAGGGAGCUUGCUCCUGGAUUCAGCGGCGGACGGGUGAGUAAUGCCUAGGAAUCUGCCUGGUAGCGGGGGAUAACGUCCGGAAACGGGCGCUAAUACCGCAUACGCCCUGAGGGAGAAAGUGGGGGAUCUUCGGACCUCACGCUAUCAGAUGAGCCUAGGUCGGAUUAGCUAGUUGGUGGGGUAAAGGCCUACCAAGGCGACGAUCCGUAACUGGUCUGAGAGGAUGAUCAGUCACACUGGAACUGAGACACGGUCCAGACUCCUACGGGAGGCAGCAGUGGGGAAUAUUGGACAAUGGGCGAAAGCCUGAUCCAGCCAUGCCGCGUGUGUGAAGAAGGUCUUCGGAUUGUAAAGCACUUUAAGUUGGGAGGAAGGGCAGUAAGUUAAUACCUUGCUGUUUUGACGUUACCAACAGAAUAAGCACCGGCUAACUUCGUG
rnacentral:rRNA from 1 species